ensembl:lncRNA
GUGUGCUUAGUCGCUCUGUUGUGUCCUGCUCUAUGACCUCAUAGACUAGCCUGCCAGGCUGCUCUGUUCAUGGAAUUCUCCAGGCAAGAAUACUGGCUUAGAUAGCCAUUCCCUUCUCCAGGGGAUCUUCCUGACCUGGGCCAGGUCCCCAAACCUGAGUCUCCUGCAUUACAAGUGGAUUCUUUACCAUCUGAGCACCAGGGAAUGCUUAUGUCUCUUUACUGUCCCUCAUUUGUUAUUAUAAGACAUUGACACUCCUUGGAAGGAAAGUUAUGACCAACCUAGACAGCAUAUUAAAAAGCAGAGACAUUACUUUGCUGACAAAGGUCUGUCUAGUUAAGGCUACGGUUUUUCCAGUAGUCAUGUAUGGAUGUGAGAGUUGGACUGUAAAGAAAGCUGAGUGCUGAAGAAUUGAUGCUUUUAACUGUGGUGUUGGAGAAGACUCUUUGAGAGUCCCUUGGACUACAAGGAGAUUCAACCAGUCCAUCCUAAAGAAGAUUGGUCCUGAGUGUUCAUUGGAAGGACUGAUGCUGAAGCUGAAACUCCAAUACUUGGCCACCUGAUGCAAAGAGCUGACUCAUUUGAAGAGACUCUGAUGCUGGGAAAGAUUGAGGGCAGCAGGAGAAGGGGAAGACAGAGGAUGAGAUGGUUGGAUGACAUCACCAACUCAAGGGACAUGAGUUUGGGUAAACUCCAGGAGUUGUUAAUGGACAGGGAGGUCUGGCCUGCUGCAGUCCAUGGGGUCACAAAGGGUCAGACAUGACUGAGUGACUGAACUGAAGAGGUUGAAUAUAGUUCGCUAUGCUAUACAGGCAGUCCUCAUUGAUUAUCUAUUUCAUAUAUAAUAAUGCAUACCCGUUAAUCCCAAACUCCCAGUUUAUCCCUUCUCCCCUUUUCCUCUUUGGUAACCAUAAGUUUGUU